rnacentral:rRNA from 1 species
GAUGAACGCUGGCGGCGUGCUUAACACAUGCAAGUCGAACGAAGCACUUUUGACUAGAUUCUUCGGAUGAUUGAUUUAGUGACUGAGUGGCGGACGGGUGAGUAACGCGUGGGUAACCUGCCUCAUACAGGGGGAUAACAGUUAGAAAUGACUGCUAAUACCGCAUAAGCGCACAGGACCGCAUGGUCUGGUGUGAAAAACUCCGGUGGUAUGAGAUGGACCCGCGUCUGAUUAGCUAGUUGGUGGGGUAACGGCCUACCAAGGCAACGAUCAGUAGCCGGCCUGAGAGGGUGAACGGCCACAUUGGGACUGAGACACGGCCCAA